rnacentral:rRNA from 1 species
AUUGAACGCUGGCGGCAGGCCUAACACAUGCAAGUCGAGCGGAUGAAGGGAGCUUGCUCCUGGAUUCAGCGGCGGACGGGUGAGUAAUGCCUAGGAAUCUGCCUGGUAGUGGGGGAUAACGUCCGGAAACGGGCGCUAAUACCGCAUACGUCCUGAGGGAGAAAGUGGGGGAUCUUCGGACCUCACGCUAUCAGAUGAGCCUAGGUCGGAUUAGCUAGUUGGUGGGGUAAAGGCCUACCAAGGCGACGAUCCGUAACUGGUCUGAGAGGAUGAUCAGUCACACUGGAACUGAGACACGGUCCAGACUCCUACGGGAGGCAGCAGUGGGGAAUAUUGGACAAUGGGCGAAAGCCUGAUCCAGCCAUGCCGCGUGUGUGAAGAAGGUCUUCGGAUUGUAAAGCACUUUAAGUUGGGAGGAAGGGCAGUAAGUUAAUACCUUGCUGUUUUGACGUUACCAACAGAAUAAGCACCGCUAA